UUGCACAGUGAACACCAAGAGUGCCUUAGUUCCUUGGUUUCAACUCUGUGCUAGAGCAAUGUCUGUUCUUUUCCUCUACACUGAAAGCUUAUUUAUCCUUUUUAAAGUAUUCAGAAAGUCAGCACAUCA
ensembl:snoRNA